rnacentral:rRNA from 1 species
UACGGGGGGAGCAAGCGUUGUUCGGAUUUACUGGGCGUAAAGGGCGCGUAGGCGGCCACCGCAAGUCAGUUGUGAAAUCUCCGGGCUUAACCCGGAAACUGCAUUGAAUACUAUUUGGCUAGAGGGUUGGAGGGGGGGGGACUGGAAUACUUGGUGUAGCAGUGAAAUGCGUAGAUAUCAAGUGGAACACCAGUGGCGAAGGCGAGUCCCUGGACAACUCCUGACACUGAGGCACGAAAGCUAGGGGAGCAAACAGG